rnacentral:rRNA from 1 species
AAUGAACGCUGGCGGCAUGCCUAACACAUGCAAGUCGAACGAAGGCUUCGGCCUUAGUGGCGCACGGGUGCGUAACGCGUGGGAAUCUGCCCUUGGGUUCGGAAUAACAGCGAGAAAUUGCUGCUAAUACCGGAUGAUGUCGAAAGACCAAAGAUUUAUCGCCCUGGGAUGAGCCCGCGUUGGAUUAGCUAGUUGGUGGGGUAAAGGCCUACCAAGGCGACGAUCCAUAGCUGAUCUGAGAGGAUGAUCAGCCACACUGGGACUGAGACACGGCCCAGACUCCUACGGGAGGCAGCAGUGGGGAAUAUUGGACAAUGGGCGAAAGCCUGAUCCAGCAAUGCCGCGUGAGUGAUGAAGGCCUUAGGGUUGUAAAGCUCUUUUACCCGGGAUGAUAAUGACAGUACCGGGAGAAUAAGCUCCGGCUAACUCCGUGCCAGCAGCCGCGGUAA